GUGUCAGCAGCCGCGGUAAUACGUAGGUGGCAAGCGUUGUCCGGAUUUAUUGGGUUUAAAGGGUGCGUAGGUGGUCUUGUAAGUCAGUGGUGAAAUACGGCAGCUCAACUGUCGAGGUGCCAUUGAUACUGCAAGACUUGAGUACAGACGAGGUAGGCGGAAUUGACGGUGUAGCGGUGAAAUGCUUAGAUAUCGUCAAGAACACCGAUAGCGAAGGCAGCUUACUAGACUGUAACUGACACUGAGGCACGAAAGUGUGGGGAUCAAACAGGAUUAGAAACCCCUGUAGUCC
rnacentral:rRNA from 1 species